rnacentral:rRNA from 1 species
UACGUAGGGUGCGAGCGUUAAUCGGAAUUACUGGGCGUAAAGGGCGCGUAGGCGGCCUUCUAAGUCGAACGUGAAAUCCCCGGGCUCAACCCGGGAACUGCGUCCGAUACUGGAAGGCUUGAAUCCGGGAGAGGGAUGCGGAAUUCCAGGUGUAGCGGUGAAAUGCGUAGAUAUCGAGAGGAACACCUGCGGCGAAGGCGGGUAGCUGGGCCGACACUGACGCUGAGGCGCGAAAGCCAGGGGAGCGAACGGG